rfam:Brassica oleracea var. oleracea cultivar TO1000 chromosome C1, whole genome shotgun sequence
UAACCAUGGUGGGGGCAUUCAAGCUGGUAACUCUUGAAUCUCUCCCAAGCGUUUCUAAUUGAUUCUCGUGGAUCUUGGUGGAAAGUGGAGAUUUUCUUCUUUACUUC